UACCAGACUCCUACGGGAGGCAGCAGUGGGGAAUAUUGCACAAUGGGGGAAACCCUGAUGCAGCGACGCCGCGUGAGCGAUGAAGUAUUUCGGUAUGUAAAGCUCUAUCAGCAGGGAAGAAGAUGACGGUACCUGACUAAGAAGCCCCGGCUAACUACGUGCCAGCAGCCGCGGUAAUACGUAGGGGGCAAGCGUUAUCCGGAUUUACUGGGUGUAAAGGGAGCGUAGACGGCGAUGCAAGCCAGAUGUGAAAGCCCGGGGCUCAACCCCGGGACUGCAUUUGGAACUGUGUGGCUGGAGUGUCGGAGAGGCAGGCGGAAUUCCUAGUGUAGCGGUGAAAUGCGUAGAUAUCAGGAGGAACACCGGUGGCGAAGGCGGCCUGCUGGACUGCAACUGACGUUGAGGCCCGAAAGCGUGGGGAGCAAACAGGAUUAGAUACCCGGGUAAA
rnacentral:rRNA from 1 species